rnacentral:rRNA from 1 species
AUUGAACGCUGGCGGCAGGCCUAACACAUGCAAGUCGAACGAGUGGCGGACGGGUGAGUAAUGUCUGGGAAACUGCCUGAUGGAGGGGGAUAACUACUGGAAACGGUAGCUAAUACCGCAUACCAUCGGAUGUGCCCAGAUGGGGUUGGCUUGUGGGUGGGGUAACGGCUCCCCAAGGCGACGAUCCCUAGCUGGUCUGAGAGGAUGACCAGAAACACUGGAACUGAGAAACGGUCCAGACUCCUACGGGAGGCAGCAGUGGGGAAUAUUGCACAAUGGGCGCAAGCCUGAUGCAGCCAUGCCGCGUGUAUGAAGAAGGCCUUCGGGUUGUAAAGUACUUUCAGCGGGGAGGCGUUACCCGCAGAAGAAGCACCGGCUAACUCCGUGCCAGCAGCCGCGGUAAUUC